GACGAACGCUGGCGGCGUGCUUAACACAUGCAAGUCGAACGGAAAGGCCCUGCUUUUGUGGGGUUCUCGAGUGGCGAACGGGUGAGUAACACGUGAGUAACCUGCCCUUGACUUUGGGAUAACUUCAGGAAACUGGGGCUACUACCGGAUAGGAUCUCCUGCUGCAUGGUGGGGGUUGGAAAUUUUCGGCGGUUGGGGAUGGACUCGCGGCUUAUCAGCUUGUUGGUGGGGUAGUGGCUUACCAAGGCUUUGACGGGUAGCCGGCCUGAGAGGGUGACCGGCCACAUUGGCACUGAGAGACGGCCCAGACUCCUACGGGAGGCAGCAGUGGGGAAUAUUGCACAAUGGGCGGAAGCCUGAUGCAGCAACGCCGCGUGCGGGAUGACGGCCUUCGGGUUGUAAACCGCUUUCGCCUGUGACGAAGCGUGAGUGACGGUAAUGGGUAAAGAAGCACCGGCUAACUACGUG
rnacentral:rRNA from 1 species